GACAUAGGUCGCAAACGUUAUCCGGAAUUAUUGGGCGUAAAGGAUGCGUAGAUGGUUCAGUAAGUUACUGGUGGGAAAUCGAGGCCCAACCUCGUGGAAGUUAGUAAUACUGUAGAGCUUGAGACCGGAAGAGGUAAGUGGAACUGCGAGUGUAGAGGUGAAAUUCGUAGAUAUUCGCAAGAACACCAGUGGCGAAGGCGGCUUACUGGUCCGGUUCUGACGCUGAGGCGCGAAAGCGUGGGGAGCAAACAGG
rnacentral:rRNA from 1 species